GCAAGCUUUUUUAUUGCUCCUCCGUCUGGUCGUCAACCUCCGGGAAAAAUAUCAAGAAACUUCAAUAUAUCCAGAACUUUGCCGCACGUAUCAUCAGCGGUCAUAGAAAAUAUGAUCACGUGACUCCAAUAUUAAAAGAGCUUCAUUGGAUUCCAGUGAAAGAGCAUCUAUACUAUCGAGACGCAGUAUUGGCCUUUAAGUGCAUGAAUGGAAUGGUACCAGAAUAUUUGAGUUCGCAAUUUACUGCCAGAGGAGCAGUAAGCGGAAGAAUAACCAGGCAAUCUGGUCAACUUAACAUUCCUCUUUUUACUAGUGCAACAGGACAAAAAACUUUCCAAUAUCGUAUAACUAAACUCUGGAACGAGCUGCCAUCUAAUCUUAAAUUAAUUAGAACGAUUAGUAGUUUUAAAACCGAACUGAAAAAGA